rfam:Ictidomys tridecemlineatus contig046157, whole genome shotgun sequence.
GGAGGUAUAGUUUGUUGGCAGAGCACUUGCCUCACAUGUUUGAGGCUCUGGGUUCAAUCCCCAGCACCACCA